GGGCCAAGCAGCUCUACAAGAAACAACUCUGUGGGGACAGGACUGAAGAAGCAGAGGAAUGGCAUGUGGGGGGGAACUAUAUUUGAAUAGAGGACAGAGUUUUCCAAGCUUUGAGUUACAGGCACCUGAUUGCAAUGAGGUGAGGAGGGGGUGGGUGGUUGUGGGUGGGAGGUUUUCACUGACUUUCGCCUCAAAUAACAUUCCUCGAAUAACUCCACUGCCUAUAUGCCUUACAUCUCGUCUGAACUCCCCUCCGUCUAUUGCACACGCUGUCACACUGGAAUCUCUGUGAAAAGCAGAAAUAAAAAGUAACCUCCAGACUGAAAGAGAUGAGAAACAAGAGGCAUAUUCCUUCUGCCUCCUGUUGUCGACCCGUGUCUCCUCCAAAACAAACAGCGCUGCUCUGCCUGACUGACUGGCUGACUGCGAGGAAUUUCAUUGUGCUGAACGCGGACGGUUUUCUGGUCUGGUCAGCAGAUCCCACGCUAUCAAAGAUUCAUAUUGUUGUCAGGAGUGCAUCGGAUCUAAACAGAGGAGGUGAAACUGCAGCCUGUGGGUCAGGAUGAGAGAUGAGAAAAAAGGGAUAAACGGAGAAGGAAGUGAGCUGCAGCAGCGAGCUCUGAAGAAGACUGCAGGAGUAGUCGAAACGUCAGAAACAAAGAAGGUAAAACAACAACUUUCUGUGUUAAAAAAGAACCAAAUAAUGCAGAUGACACCUGCAGCUCUUCCUGUUAAAGUAAACAUAAGUAUAAUGCCAGAAUAACUGGUGUAAAAGUUUAAGAUCGCUGCUCAUCUGAGUAGUCUGAUCUAAUCUGCAACUUGAACAGGGUCAAAUGUACCGUACAAAAUACACCUUUCAAUCUCAUGCUUGUUUCAAAAGUUGUCCAUCAACUGCAUCGUGGUAAACACAAACAUCCAUCAGAUUUUUGCUUUUUGGCUACAAAGAAGAAGAAGAAAAUAUCAUUUCUAUAGCGCCUCUCAAGAUAAAAAUCACAAGGCGCUUCACAAAAACAAAAAAAAAAUUUGUUAAAAUAUAAAAAAAGCAUUUAGAAAAUGUUUAAAAAUGUAUUUAAAAUGAGCAAAAAUAGGCAAUUGGGAUUUAAAAGAAAAAAUGUUAAGAAAGAGAGAGAGAGUGAAAAGGAAAGAGGGGAGUCAGUGGAUCCUGAGGAAGGUGGAAUAGGUGGGGAGAGGAGAAUAAAGAGAGAGUGGUGAAGAAGGUCAUACAAAAGCCAGCUUGAACAAGUGAGUCUUCAGAUGAUUUUUAAAGGAGACCACUGAGUCCACUGAUCUCAGGCUCAGGGGGAGAGAGUUCCAGAGUCUGGGGGCCACAACAGCAAAUGAUCUGUCACCUUUGGACUUUAGAAGUACUUUAGAGAAGUACAUUGCAAACGAUCUGAACUAACCCUAACUUUAAGGUUAUUUUCUGGGUCAGUCGUUGUUGUAACAUGGAAAUAAGCAAAUAACCUCCUAACAUCUUCUCCAGUUUUACUGAUGAACCCACAUUUUUCUCCUUUGCCUCUUUUGUUCUGUGUUUUAGAGUUUUAGGGUCCACCAGACCAACAUGCAAAUGGACAUUCUAUGAAUUACUGCGAUCAAAGCAAAUCCAACAGAAUACUCUGACAAUAUUAUUACAGAAAUGCUUUACAAGUUGCAUUGAUUAGAAAAAGUCUGCUUAUAAAAUGCAGCGUGUUUUAUCUAUAAUCCGGGUUUACGAGCAGUGAGCAUGAACAGAUUCCGUCUAAAUCUGACAUCUGAACUCGGGGUCACCACUCACUUCCUCCAGGCUGCAGGAACUCGAUUCGUCUUACAGCGUGCGUUCAAGAAGUCCAUUUCUGACUAAUUUGAUUAACACAGGCAUUGUCACAUGGCCCCCACCCUCCAACCUCCGUCCCUCAGCCUCCCCUCUUGUCUCUUCCUUACCCUUUGUUUCUGCUGAGGAUAUUGGACAUAUUUAUGGUCCCUCUGGUGCUGAAACUGGACCCAACAUGAGAGUCGGAGAGCAUCCAGCUGCUCACACGGCAGCCUUCAGUUAACCAUAAAUCCAUGACAGCAGUAAAGAAAGGUUAAAGUGGGAUUUAAACCCUGAUUUUUAGUUUUUUAAAGUCAGUGCAAGGGAAUAUGGGGUUCAUUCAAGGAGCACAAAAGAAGCACAGGGUCCCGAUUCAGCGUGGAGCAGGGAUACAGUAACAGGAUCCAGCAAAGCUCUGUGCUCUCCUGAGCCCUGCAGCGUAAACAAACAGCUGAGACAGAGCAGGGCUGAGGCAGAAACACACACACACACACACACACACACACACACACACGCGCGCGCGUGCGCGCGCGCGCAAAGACAGGCAAUCAGAGUGAGGCAGUCUGCCCAGGCAAAGCUCACCUCGGGGCAUCUCCACCACCACAGCCUCAUCACAUUACCGUCUACCUCGGGUUUCAUGGGCUCAAACUAAGACCUGACAUCAGGGCGGCUGCUCAGCAUUUUGCUGGAUGCAACAGCUCCUGCUCACAAGUCAAAUGAGGAUCGUUUACCAACUGUCACUUUGAAAUCCACCUUUAAAGGGCAGUUUGUGGAUUUCAAUGAAAAGGUUCCACCCACUUCCAGCUCUGACUAAAAUAAGAAAUAUCUGUUUCAAAUAAACAAAACGCCACUUUAUAAACUGGUAUGAAGAGCCAGUGUGGCUGAUUGGGAGUUUGUUUUCCACUUUCAUGAAAAGAAACCACAGUUAAUGGCCUGAGAAUGAUUUAAAGCUUCAAUUCAGACCCAAAGCCUCCGGCCAAUCUACUCAGAUGCAUUUUAUUAUAGAAGCCCAUGACUUCGGACCACAAAAAGGACAAUAAAGUAGUUUCCCAAAACCAAACAGCUGACAUUCCUUCAUUUGUGUGCAUCCAGAGUGAAAAGUCACGCUUCCAGACACUAGAUGGCGCAGUUUCAUGCGCAAUCGAGAGGACUGAGGGAGUCUCUCUCUCUCUCUCUCUCUCUCUCUCUCUCUCUCUCUCUCUCUCUCUCUCUCUCUCUCUCUCACACACACACACACACACACACACACACACACACACACACACACACACACACACACACACACACACACACACACACACACACACACACAC